AUGACACUGUCACUGCUCUUCUCCCUUUUCCUACUCGCCGCCCCAUCAGGUGUCCUCUCCCAGGUGCAGCUGGUCCAGACCGGCCCGGGGGCAGUGAAGCCCUCAGAGACCCUCAGUAUCACCUGUAAGGUUUCUGGUGUCUCUGUCAGCAGCAACUAUUGGGGCUGGGUCCGACAGCCACCGGGGAAAGGGCUGGAGUGGAUGGGGCGCAUGCGGAGCACUGCAGACGGAGGCACCACAGAUUACAGCUCGGCUUUCAGUAGCCGGAUCACCAUCACCAGGGACACCUCGAAGGACGAAGUCUAUCUCCAGCUCCGCUCACUGACAGCUACAGACACCGGCACCUAUUACUGCGCCAGAGACACA